rnacentral:tRNA from 1 species
GCCGACGUAGCUCAGUUGGUAGAGCUUUCGAUUUGUAAUCGAAGGGUCGUGGGUUCGAGUCCCACCGUCGGCU